GACGAGGCGUGCGAACGUUGUUCGGAAUCACUGGGCUUAAAGGGCGCGUAGGCGGCUCCGCAAGUCGGGGGUGAAAUCUUUCGGCUUAACCGGAAAAGUGCCUCUGAUACUGCGGAGCUCGAGGGAGGUAGGGGCGGACGGAACUUCCGGUGGAGCGGUGAAAUGCGCAGAUAUCGGGAGGAACACCAAUGGCGAAGGCAGCUCGCUGGGACGGUACUGACGCUGAGACGCGAAAGCGUGGGGAGCAAACAGG
rnacentral:rRNA from 1 species